GGGGGUGGUGCGGCGGCGGUUUAUAUAGGGGCAGAGGGGGCCGAAGGAAGGAAGGGGGAGGGGGAAUCGGGGGGGAUCCCAUCGAAUCAGGGGUGGCAGGAGGUCACGCCAUGGCUGUGCGCUGGAAAGGAAAAGGGUCACGUGGGAAGAAAGAAGGAAGGAAGAAGAAAGAAGGAAGAAAAAAAAGAAAGGAAAGAAAAGAAAGAGAAAGAAAAAAAAAUAAAGAAAGGAAGAGGGGUGCGCUGGAGGGUUGGAUGCUCGUGGGGAUGGCCAGGAAUCUCUCCCAGCGAUGGGGGG
rnacentral:lncRNA from 1 species